rnacentral:rRNA from 1 species
GUACACACACGCUACAAUGGCAGAUACAAUAGGGUUGCGAAACCGCGAGGUGGAGCCAAUCCUACAAACGUUAGGUCCUCAGUUCAGAUUGCAGGCUGCAACCCGCCUGCAUGAAGAUGGAGUUGCUAGUAACCGCAGGUCAGCUAUACUGCGGUGAAUACGUUCCCGGGGCUU